rnacentral:lncRNA from 1 species
UGGAAAAUAACUCUAACUUGUAUGGAUCACCACGGCGUCAUAUGGACUCCAACUGGGAUGUUCCUAUACUUGUUGGAAAGCUCAUGAAGUCUACUUUCCAAUGGGUCCAACCACAUAUCUAUGCGGCUUAUGAGUAGGGCUGGUUUUAGUUUAGUCCUUUAGAGUUUUGAGUUCUUGUCACCAUCUAGUCACAACUGCGUCCAAUCUAUUGUGGGUUGGAAUUUGAGUAGAUCUUGAUAAUAGGUGCAGCCACUUGUUUGUCUAUUCUGCGUUUCCAUCAACGUGAUCCAAAAGGAAAGAUAGCACUUCAUACUUGUGCUAGAUAUAUUGAAUUUUGAGGUUCAGCCUUACUCUAGUGAGAGGGUGAGAGUGGUGAAGUGAUAUUUUGUACUAUUUCGUUUAUAUAAUCAGGUUUUGAGGUUCCCCAAAUAAAAGAAAAGAGAAAGAAAAAAAAUAAAGAAAAAAAAGAAAAAAAGAAAGAAAAAAAAAAAUCAAAAGAAGGGGAUUGUUGUUCCUUUUGUUUCCAGUAGGGCUGCUCAUUUUGUUUCUAGUGGUGUGCUGUGUUUUCCCUUUGUGUCC